GCACAAGAAUCACAAGCAUGCUUAUGUGUCAGAAAAUUACCCUACCCUCGAGAAACCUCUAAAGCAAGAAAAGUUAUUACAUCAGACAGAUAUGAAUAAGGGCAAAGAUUUCAUUUGGAGUCACACAUACUAGGACUACAGUAAUGAUGGUAAAACCUCACCUGGUAUUUCACACCACGUGAGAGCUCAUUAGACUUAUACGUUUAACACAGUUUUAAAGAUGCAUUUACCUAAAGUGAUGAUUUUGGUGAACUUUACCAAAUAUAAUCAUGCCACAGUGAUCACACAGGCCAAGUCCUCUGCCCUCCUAAAAUCCCCUUGUUCUUGGCAGAAAACCCCCUCUCAGAUUCCAGCCCCAGAGAACCACAGAUCAUCGGUUACACAGCUAAGUUUGACCGGCGCAGAAAUGCCAUAUAAAUGAAGACAUAAAGUGUACUUUUUUUUUGGUGUAUGGCUUUGUUUGCAUCCCUGUACUCUUGGGACCUGUUCCUGCAGGUCAGUAAUUUGUACCUCUUCAGCAGAGGUCUGAGCCUGGAGCCCUGGACAGGCCCUCGUCCCUAGCCACCUUGUCUCUGCCUCUGUUUUGCCUGUUAUUUCCAGGCUUCUGUUGGUUGCUUUUGUUUUAUUUGCAUCUUUACGCCUGUUUCUUUACCUUUCCACUUCAGGCUGGUUUUCUAACUUACAGAAUGAGAAUGAGCAUUCCAGAUAAGAGCAACAGUUGUGCAGAGUAAAUGUAAGGCACCCAUUCUUCAAAAAUGAUACUGUCCCCGACUGGCUAUAGCCUCGGCUGUGAUCCACUUCCGAAUUCUGUGAGAUGCCUCUUGUUCUCAAGACCAUGGUGAAAUUGCUGAAGCCCUGUGUUGCCUCGCUGUCAGUGUCACACCUUAGCAAGCGGCUCUGCCUGGAUUCUCUGCACUUGCCUUUGGUUGGUUGGAGGUGUGUGGGCGGGGUUGGGGGCGGUCUCUUGCUCUAGCUACCUUCAGAAGCUUCAAAAACUUUAUGAAGCCACACCCGACUUUUCCUACUCUGCUGCUCAAUUAUCAGGUCCCAGCUUCUCUGGUUCUGACUUACUAGGGUGCCAGGACAGUUCCAAGUCUGAGAGACUGCAGACAAUCUAACUCUUCCUGGUCUUUCCAGGCACCGCCCCCGCUUAGGGUUAAGGGACCACUUCCUUCCUAUCCUAACAGCCAGCUGGCCUUAGACAGCUCUGAGCCCUUCCCUGAAACAGACCCUUCCACCUUCUUUCCUUAGAAGGCAGCAGGCGUCCCAGGUUUCUGGGGACUUGGGCUGUCUUUGCUCCUCCCCUCUGGGGCAGAGACUGGGGGUGGAGGGCAGUGCCUUAGUGCAGUGUUGUCAUAGUUAAGCAAUUUCACUUUCCUUUUUCUCCUCUUUGGAGGCCCCUGAAGGAGUUCUCUCUGGGCUUCCCAGAGACUCAGAGGGGGUUCGGUCUACCCUGAACAGGGUCCCUUGGAGUCUGUGUAGGGGAUGGCAGGAGGCUACAAUGAACUCAGCAGCAGGACAAUCCCAGAGGACCAGAAUGAAGAGGAGUCAGAUGACUAUCAGCUCAUGUUCAAGCACUUCAAAGAAAACAAGGUGGAGAUCGCAAGUGCCAUCACCAAGCCGUUUCCUUUCCUCAUGAGCCUUCGAGACCGAGACUUCAUCUCGGAGCAGAAGUUUCAGGAAUAUCAAGAAACAUGUAAGAACCUGGUCCCAGUGGAGAGAGUCGUGUACGACAUCCUCAGCAAUGUACAGAAGAAGUUUAGCCGGGAUCUUCUGAAAGUGAUAUUCAGCAAAACACAUCUGAAGGCCUACCCCGACUUAAAGGAGACUCUAAAACACUUCUUCCUAAAUGCAUCCAAAACGAAUGAUGAACAAGCAGAGGAGAUGCAAUGCAAUGGAGGAGAGGGAAGUAAUUCUUGUGAACAAACAAGACAAACAAGACAAGAGCCCCAGGAUGACCUGCCCUCAUCCCUGAGACAAGAAGCAGGAGCACAGCAACCCACACGUGAAAAGAAGUGUUCCUGUGUCAUAUGUUCCCCAACAUAUGUGCCAGAAGACCUGGAAGCAAGGAUGGGAAGCAGCCAAGGAGAAUGUGUGGGCACCAGGAGGAACAUUCCUGCAAGAAAACCCAAGAAGCAGAGAAGAAAAAAGAAAGGCCACAACUGGUCAAAACCAAGAUGGAGAAAGCCAAUGAGUGUACAGAGAAAACGUCUAAGAAGACGCAGAAAAGAAAAUGCCAAUUUUAGUGCUGAGUUGCUUCCCGUGACGUGUGGUAACUUGAAGGGAGUGUUACACAAGGAAAAAUUCAAACAAGGGAUAUCUGUGAAGUCCAUACAGUGUCAGAAUGGAAACUGGUUCACACCCUCGGAAUUUGAAAUGAUGGGAGGCUAUGGAAAGUCAAAGAACUGGAAACUGAGCCUGCGCUGCCAUAAUUGGCCCCUGAAACUCCUGAUCCAGGUAUUGCAAAUGAGGAGAGGAAGAGAAAUUUUCUACCCAAUCCUCCACGGAUACAUCGCAAAAGAAAAGAGCAGAGAACACAGAACUUGCAUCGUUCCCCAGCUGACCCUAGUAUUCAGAACUCAGAUAAAUGUGAGGUGUGCCGGGAUGGAGGAUUACUCUUCUGCUGUGAUACUUGUUUCAGAGCCUUCCAUGAGGACUGUCAUAUCCCAACAGUGGAAGCUGAGAUAACACCAUGGAGUUGCAUCUUCUGUAGGAUGCAGUCCUUAGGAAGUCAACCGAGUCUUCCAGAAUCUGAGAUACUGCAGAGGGAGAUGGCUCCCCAGGAACAGUUGAAGUGUGAGUAUGUUCUCUUGAGAGUCUAUUGCUGUUCUGAGAGCUCCUUUUUUUCCAAGAUGCCAUAUUAUUAUUAUUUUAGAGAGAUGACUGUGAGUGUGCAAGAGCCUAUGUGGUUGGACAUAAUCAAGAAAAAGCUGAGUGACCAGGCUUACUGCCAAGUAGAAGACUUUGUGCAAGACAUGAGGCUCAUCUUCCGGAAUCACAAAAUCACGUUCAAGGACCCUAAGUUUGGCGAAAUGGGAUUUAGACUGGAGUCCAAGUUUGAGAAGAGUUUCAAGGAAGUGUUUGCUAUUCAGGAAACAAAUGAAAAGAGUUGACUAAAAUCAGAGACAUGGCUGGUGUCACCUGGCCAUGUCUGUCUCACCUGCAGCAGCAAUGAGUGUUCUUUAUAGACUCUAUCAUUCCCGGAUGAUUACUCUUGGUCAUAUGGAAACAGGUGCAGCUAGGAGUUACACCUCCUGGCCUGGGGGUCCAUCCCCCUUUCUCCCCAUGAAAUCAAGAGUAUGGUGCAUUGCUGCUCUCUGGUCUUCAAGGGUCUAGGCUGGAGCCUGUCUCCAGCUGGCUUUGCUCCACCACCACUUCAACCCCUCCCCCCACAUAUAUGUUGCUUUUCUUGUCUCUUACUCUCCUGAGAACAAUCCACAAUAAACCAUAAGCUUCCAGGACUUCAAACCA